rnacentral:tRNA from 1 species
GGUAAAUUUAGUUUAAUUGGCAAAAUUACGUCUUGUGGCGACGAAGUUCAGAGUUCAAGUCUCUGAUUUUACC